GCUUAAUUUGACUCAACGCGGGAAAUCUUACCGGGUCCGGACACACUGAGGAUUGACAGGUAACGUUAUACACACAUAUAUUUACUCUCGGGUAUUUAUACUGCUGUGUAUAUAUAAAAUAUGCUAGUCCUUUCAUGAUUAUGUGAUAGGUGGUGCAUGGCCGUUCUUAGUUCGUGGAGUGAUCUGUCUGCUUAAUUGCGUUUCACUAAGGAUCUAUAUUCAUAUUACGCAUAGCAUUUUGACCCCUUUAUGCUUCGGUAUAAAGCUGCGCGUCAAACCUUGCUAUCUGCGUAUAUUAGAUCCUGAAAGCAACGAACGUGACCGCAACCUCUUGUUGCCUUUAACUAGGUUUUGCUUACGUAUAGCUUCGGCUUUACGCUUUGCAUCUAAAAAGGCUGAUUUUCUAAACUAGAGGGACCGCUGUUACUUUCUUAAACCAGAGGAAGGUUGCGGCAAUAACAGGUCUGUGAU
rnacentral:rRNA from 1 species